rnacentral:rRNA from 1 species
UUGGAGGGCAAGUCUGGUGCCAGCAGCCGCGGUAAUUCCAGUUCCAAUAGCGUAUAUUAAAGUUGUUGCAGUUAAAAAGCUCGUAGUUGAAUUUCGGGAUUAGUACGCUGGUCGUGCCUUCGGUACGUACUGGUGUUACUGAUUUCUACCUUCUGACGAACCAUCAUGUCAUUAAUUUGAUGUGGUGGGGAAUCAGGACUGUUACUUUGAAAAAAUUAGAGUGUUUAAAGCAGGCUCGCGCUUGAAUACAUUAGCAUGGAAUAAUGAAAUAGGACGUUGAUCCUAUUUUGUUGGUUUCUAGGAUUGACGUAAUGAUUAAUAGGGAUAGUUGGGGGCAUUAGUAUUCAAUUGUCAGAGGUGAAAUUCUUGGAUUUAUUGAAGACUAACUACUGCGAAAGCAUUUGCCAAGGAUGUUUUCAUUAAUCAAGAACGAAAGUUAGGGGAUCGAAGACGAUCAGAUACCGUCGUAGUCUUAACCAUAAACUAUGCCGACUAGGGAUCGGAUGAUGUUAAUUUUUUAAUGACUCAUUCGGCGCCUUACGGGAAAC